CAGAUUGGCAGAUUGCUCCUGGUCCUGAGCACAAAAGACAUGAAAUCUGCAGAAAAAACGUGUUCAAUAUUUAUCUGUUUUCCCAGUAUGCAGACUUACACUUAAUAGUACUUGAAAGAAAGAUCUAUCCAUCAAUAUACUUUUACUGUAUGUGGUGCUGUGGUGCAAAUCUUGUUUCUCUUAUAUUCAUGCUCUCUGCUCUCUCCAUUACCAAGGUCAUUCUUCCAAGGUAGCUUCCUUUCCUUUAACAAAAACCAUCUUGUUUCAUCAUUUUUCUUCUAAUGUUGAUAAUAACUUGAUAUAUUGUUUAGUUAUGCAAAAGUGCAAUUACUUGAUUUUUCAUGGUUUAUAUGAGAUUUUCAUUACAUUGCUAAAUUUUCUUAGGGCUUUAACAUUGUAGUAAUGUUUAGUAUGUCAGUCUUGUAUCAAGAUUUAUCAACUUUCUCAACUCUGGGUUUCAGAAAGAAGAACAGUAGGAUUUAAUUUUAAUACAUCUAUGUGAAGUAGAAGUUGACUUUAAAAGUUGGUAGAUUCGAAAGGAUCAGUGUAGUUCAAGCCUUUUGUUUUACAAGUUUCUGUCUGGACUCUGGAAAAGGGUAUUGAUUGAUCUGUCUGGGUUUAUGCCUACUACCGAUAUAUUAUUCUAUCUGAGUUUGCAGAUACACUAGAUCUAUGGCUCAAUCAAGCAGCAAUGGAAAGAAGCUUAUCCGGAUUGAUAUCAGUUCAGAUCCUGUUUGUCCAUGGUGUUUCAUUGGCAAGAAAAAUCUAGACAAGUGUUGUGCGCAGCGGACUAAUGCACAAAUAAUGAUGAUUGAACUAAUAUACGAAAGUAAAACAAAACGCCAAAAGUAAACAAGCAACCACACACAAGACACAAGAUAUACGUGGUUCGG
rnacentral:lncRNA from 1 species